UGUUGAGAGGGAUAAAGGUGUCUUUUGUUAAUGAAGGAGACCCCACUCAAGGGCGGGGAUGUUGCCAGGACGACCAACCAUGUGUGAUCAGAGGGUUGGAACUUCCGGCCCCACCCCCGACCUCUGUGGAGAGGGGAGGGGCUGGAGGCUGAAUCGGCCAAUGGCCAAAGAUCUAAUCAACUGUGGCUAUACAAAGAAGCCUCGGUAAAAAUGCCAAAGGACCGGGUUCAGAAGCUUCUGGAGAUUGGGAAGAGUGCUGUGCGGGGAGGGAUGGAAGCCCCACAGCCUUUCCCCAGACCUGUCCCUAUGAUCUCUUCCUCUGGCGGUUGAUUUUUAGCCUUUGUCACCUCCUUGAGCCACCAGUAAAGAAACCCUGCGAGUAACCAGAACAGCAAGUAACCAGAACUGCAGAAGCCACAUUUAAGUUUACGUUCGGGCACCUACAGAGGGAGACUCCUUCCAGUUACACCUCCCUCAUACGUAGGUUCAGGGCCCCGUUCCCCUGACUCUCAGGGCUGCCCGCACCCACAGACUUCACCGACGGCACUACGGACGGAUGCGGCCCGGCACCCGCGUGCUCCGGUGAGCGGCUGGCUGCAUGCACACUGCCUCCAGAGCUCGCUGCGGUGGGUGCUGGCCAGGGCACUUCCUCUCCACCUCAGCAGCCAACUUCAUCAAUAACCCGUCUCACCGCCUUUCCCCUUUUAUCCAGGAGAGACCACGGCAAAACAGAAACAUUAAAUAAAAGGUUUCCACGGUGUCUUGAACUACUUUACUAGUACGGAUGGCAUAACUUUAAGCGUCCCGAAGCUGCUUAGACUCAGACGGCAGAACCAGAUGACAACAGCUGAGUUUUCUGACAUCUAACAGACCCGUUAAAGAUCACUUAUCCAUAAAGCAGCUCAAAUGACAUGGCUAUUUAACAGAAACGUCUGGAACUAUUCACUAAGAACUGCUGAUAGGGUGACAAAGCAGCGCCACCAACUUGUACCGUAAGUCACAGGUACA